rnacentral:rRNA from 2 species
CCUACGGGAGGCAGCAGUGGGGAAUAUUGGACAAUGGGCGCAAGCCUGAUCCAGCCAUGCCGCGUGAGUGACGAAGGUCUUCGGAUUGUAAAGCUCUUUUGGCGGGGACGAUAAUGACGGUACCCGCAGAAUAAGCCCCGGCUAACUUCGUGCCAGCAGCCGCGGUAAU